GAAAAAGAAAGCCUAUUAAGGCUAGAAGUUUGAUAUUAGCUUUUUGAUGGAGUCUUGUAUCAUUUUAUUGAUUUGUGUGGAGGAAAACUCUAGUUGGGUUCCAUAGUUGACAAGCCUGCUGUAUUCUUCUAAAUCUUAAAUUAUCCCUGGGUAAGGCUGAGUAUAAACGAUCAAUUUUGGCCCAACUAGACCUCGAUUGUUUUAAAUGUCAGGUCUUGUGCAUUAGAGAUAUACGUUGUACAAUAUAUUUAUUGGAUGUGGUUACAGUGCACUCAUUAUAUUUGGCAAUGGCCUUUUACAGUUAGAAAUUAUUUGCCAGUAAAGUUUACUUAAAUCCAUA
rnacentral:misc_RNA from 1 species